CUAAGGUCCGUCAGCUGAUCCUUUCUCAGAUGCUUUAAUUCUUACCAUACUCAGUGCUUUACGACCCUAAAGCCUUCAUCACAGACGCGGCGUCCCUCAUUCACACUUGCGGGCAUUGCGAAAAAUACCCUACUGCUGCCUCCCGUAGGAGUAAUGGAAUCAUGGAGGGAGUAAGUCUGCCUACCGAUUCCACAGGUUUUAACGGGUAUAUGAUCAGGUCCUUUUAAAAAGCCAGACUAACUUCAUGCCAACACCGCUUUCAUCCUGACAGUACAUUACCAGAAAGGGAUGGCUAACUACCUGCCAUCAGCCCGGUAAUACAGG
rnacentral:rRNA from 1 species